UAAAAAUUUUACUUACUUUCUAUCUGAUUGGAGCUGGUAGUCUGUUUUAGACAACCUUUUCCUUCUUCUAGAUGACUACACGAGGCAUUUGUCUGAUAUCUUA
rnacentral:snoRNA from 1 species